CCUACGGGAGGCAGCAGUGGGGAAUAUUGCACAAUGGGGGAAACCCUGAUGCAGCGACGCCGCGUGAGUGAAGAAGUAUUUCGGUACGUAAAGCUCUAUCAGCAGGGAAGAAAAUGACGGUACCUGACUAAGAAGCCCCGGCUAACUACGUGCCAGCAGCCGCGGUAAUACGUAGGGGGCAAGCGUUAUCCGGAUUUACUGGGUGUAAAGGGAGCGUAGACGGCAGCGCAAGUCUGGAGUGAAAUCCCAUGGCUUAACCAUGGAACUGCUUUGGAAACUGUGCAGCUAGAGUGCAGGAGAGGUAAGCGGAAUUCCUAGUGUAGCGGUGAAAUGCGUAGAUAUUAGGAGGAACUCCAGUGGCGAAGGCGGCUUACUGGACUGUAACUGACGUUGAGGCUCGAAAGCGUGGGGAGCAAACAGGAUUAGAUACCCGAGUAGUC
rnacentral:rRNA from 1 species